rnacentral:rRNA from 1 species
CCUACGGGUGGCAGCAGUGAGGAAUAUUGGUCAAUGGGCGGGAGCCUGAACCAGCCAAGUAGCGUGAGGGAUGACUGCCCUACGGGUUGUAAACCUCUUUUAUAAAGGAAUAAAGUGAGGCACGUGUGCAUUUUUGUAUGUACUGUAUGAAUAAGGAUCGGCUAACUCCGUGCCAGCAGCCGCGGUAAUACGGAGGAUCCGAGCGUUAUCCGGAUUUAUUGGGUUUAAAGGGAGCGUAGAUGGGUUGUUAAGUCAGUUGUGAAAUUUUGCGGCUCAACCGUCAAAUUGCAGUUGAUACUGGACGUCUUGAGUACAGUUGAGGUAGGCGGAAUUCGUGGUGUAGCGGUGAAAUGCUUAGAUAUCACGAAGAACUCCGAUUGCGAAGGCAGCUUACUAAACUGCCACUGACAUUGAUGCUCGAAAGUGUGGGUAUCAAACAGGAUUAGAUACCCUAGUAGUC